AUUCAGUCAGUAUGGAGCUCACUCAACUUCCUCUUGUGCUCUAAGACGUCACAGGAGCCCAUAAGAGAAACACAGCCGGUUAACUCACGGGAUGAACUUUGGAAAUAAGAUCCCACAGAAACUCUCUCAGGAUAACCAAUGGAUCAGCUAUUCAUCUUUACCAAGAACAUUGAAAAAUAAACAAUCUUUCAUGAGUUUUAUUUUAUUUUUUACUUUGUAUUUUUAGUGCUGAUUUCAAACAUCCAUUCUGGACACGCUGAAGGGUGAUCUUUGCACCUUUCAUUUUUCUAUUUCAGAUAAAGUCCAGUUAAGUGUUUCUCCUCAGAAGUGGUUGACUGAAGGAGAUCCAGUGACUCUGACCUGUGAGGUUAACG